UAAUGUAAAUAAUAAAUACACAAAAAGUGAUGCCUAUUUUGAUUUAAACGAUAAAAAACUGUCUUCUUUUGUCUGUAAAAGCGUUGGUGCAGUUAUAACUGCUUCGCAUAACCCCCAUUAUGAGAAUGGAAUAAAAUUGAUUGAUUGUGAUGGUAGGCUACUGAAGAAAACAUAUGAAGAUUUUUUAAAUAAACUUGUUAAUAAUCAUUUAUAUUAUACAAAAGAAAAUAGCAAUUGUAAAAUAGACGACAUCGUUUUUAAUACUAUAAGUUUUAUUGGUAAGCUUUUUAAAGAAGAGAUAAAUAUAAAUAUAUUUGAUGAUAAUAUAUAUAAUAAGUUAAAAGAGCUAGAUGAUAUAAUAUAUAAUAAUAAUUUUUAUAGUAUAUUAAAAAGUAAUAUAUGUAUUGGUUUUGAUACAAGAGAUAGUUGUAUAUAUUUGAAUAAUGUUAUUAUCGAUGCAUUACAUUGUGUAAAUAUAUACAAAUGUAUAAAUAACUUGUGUUAUAUUACUACACCUUGUAUGCAUUUUAUAAUUUUUUUUCUAAAUAAUGCUUUUCAUGAUAAAACAAUUGAUCAUAGUUUUAUAGAAAAGAAGAAAGAAUAUAUACAUAACAACAUACAAAAAAAAAAAAAUGAUUUAAAUUAUUUAAAAAAAUUUGUCUUUUUAAAAAAUAAAAAUAUAAUUAAGGUUUUGUACUAUUUAGACAUAGACAAGGAUUAUAAUUUGGAUGAUCUAAAUUAUGUGAGUGGAGAUAAUAUUGUGGGAGAUAAUUUUUAUGAUAGUACCUGCAAUAUGGGAAGUAGUACCGGGAGUAGUAUCGGAAGUAGCAGUAGAAGCAGCAGUAGAAGCAGCAGUAGUACUAGCAGCAAUAGUAGCAGUAAUAAUAACGGAAGUAAUAUUGUUAUUGAAAGAAACGAAAAACGUACAAAAAAAAAUAUAAACAUAGAAAAAAAUAUAAACACAGAAAAAAAUAUAAACACAGAAAAAAAUGCAAACACAGA
ensembl:lncRNA